rnacentral:rRNA from 1 species
GAUGAACGCUGGCGGCGUGCCUAAUACAUGCAAGUCGAACGAAACUUCUUUAUCACCGAGUGCUUGCACUCACCGAUAAAGAGUUGAGUGGCGAACGGGUGAGUAACACGUGGGCAACCUGCCCAAAAGAGGGGGAUAACACUUGGAAACAGGUGCUAAUACCGCGUAACCAUAGUUACCGCAUGGUAACUAUGUAAAAGGUGGCUAUACUACCGCUUUUGGAUGGGCCCGCGGCGCAUUAGCUAGUUGGUAGGGUAAAGGCUUACCAAGGCAAUGAUGCGUAGCCGAAUUGAGAGGUUGAUCGGCCACAUUGGGACUGAGACACGGCCCAAACUCCUACGGGAGGCAGCAGUAGGGAAUCUUCCACAAUGGGCGAAAGCCUGAUGGAGCAACGCCGCGUGGGUGAAGAAGGUCUUCGGAUCGUAAAACCCUGUUGUUAGAGAAGAAAGUGCGUGAGAGUAACUGUUCACGUUUCGACGGUAUCUAACCAGAAAGCCACGGCUAACUACGUG